AUACGGAGGGUGCAAGCGUUAUUCGGAAUCACUGGGCGUAAAGGGCGCGUAGGCGGGUUGGCAAGUCAGAUGUGAAAUCCUACAGCUUAACUGUAGAACUGCAUUUGAAACUGCUAACCUAGAGUAUGGGAGGGGGAGAUGGAAUUAGUGGUGUAGGGGUAAAAUCCGUAGAUAUCACUAGGAAUACCGAAAGCGAAGGCGAUCUCCUGGAACAAUACUGACGCUAAGGCGUGAAAGCGUGGGGAGCAAACGGGAUUAGAUACCCUAGUAGUCC
rnacentral:rRNA from 1 species